rnacentral:misc_RNA from 1 species
UUGAACAGAGCAUUUCGUGGAGCUUCUUGGGCUGAUUUUGUAUGGGAAUCUAAAUUGCCUACGAAUUAUGUUCGUCUUAUUCAAAGAGUUCUUGGUGAUGAUUUGCCAAGAAAUAUUAGUAGGAGAGAAAUCUAUACCAGGCUGUGUAGAGCUAACACUUUUGAUGGUGGUACCAAGAAAGUAUGGCUAAAAAAAAAUAAUGGUGGGGUCUGCUUCUUCGAAGGGAUUAGCGAUUACUGGAAUCGAUGACAGAAGGUAUUGGAAUCAUAUUCCAACCGAAGAAUCUAGAUUCGACUCUGUUGCAUAUCUUCAGCAAAUCUGGUGGUUUGAGGUUGAUGGGCAGUUUGAAUUCCCAUUUCCAGCAGGAACCUACAGCAUAUUCGUCAGGUUGCAAUUGGGGAGAGCUGCCAAGAGGUACGGUCGCCGAACCUGCAACACAGAGCACGUCCAUGGUUGGGAUAUAAAACCUGUGAGGUUUCAGCUAUGGACUUCUGAUGGUCAGUA